rnacentral:rRNA from 1 species
UACAGAGGGUGCGAGCGUUAAUCGGAAUUACUGGGCGUAAAGCGUGCGUAGACGGUUAUUUAAGUCGGGUGUGAAAGCCCCGGGCUCAACCUGGGAAUUGCAUUUGAGACUGAAUAGCUAGGGUGCGGUAGAGGGAAGCGGAAUUUCCGGUGUAGCGGUGAAAUGCGUAGAUAUCGGAAGGAACAUCAGUGGCGAAAGCGACUUCCUGGACCAGUACCGACGUUCAGGCACGAAAGCGUGGGGAGCAAACAGG